UAACUAAUGAAAAAGAAAACUUGUGUUGUUCUUUCAAAAUUAAUAUAAAUACAUUUGGCAGCCCAUUCACAGAUUACUCGAUGCACAAAAAAUGAAGAGAAGCAGACACGCGUGGUCGAAAAGUACAGGGAGGCACUUUUUGGAAUUAUGAGAGGAAAGACAUAUAUAUUUGCAAUGAGAUAUCCACGAAACUUCAGAAUAGGGGUUUCACUUCGUUAAAAGUGUAAACGAAGGUCCACAACUUUACACAAAGGUUUAGAAAAGAACAGUGUGUUGGAGUUUCUAUAUAUACUUCUAUAUAUUAAAGAGAUUUCUAGACAAUUUGCUCAUACAUAACACUACAAAAUUAGUGUUUGAAAGUAUUGUAGAUUAGGGCCCAUCAUCAAAUGCUGCAUCGUUGCUGUCACCAUGAUCAUUUCUACGUCCAUCGGUAGUUCCAAUAUCCACGUCUGAAGAUUCUGAAACACCUGCAAAAAAAAGACAAUUUAAAUGACACCUUUUUAAAAAUUUCAGAAUCGGAUGUAUGUAAAGAAUCAUCACAUCGAGCUGCAAGGUAUUUGAAUUUAAUGGAAGAAAGCAAUGUUACUUCGUCGUAUAUUGCGUCAUCAAUGGAAAAAGGCUUUUUAUAUAGAGUUUUUCACACUUCCUGACAAAAUAGUUUCAGUCAAAUGCACACGGUUGACUGCCAACGCCAAACCGAUUUACUAAGCGAGCCAAGGCAAUACAACCCAAUGGCAAUUCUCUUUUCUAAAGAAAUGGAAAUCCGAAAGGUUGUAUCUUUUAUUCUGUAGUCCUUUCAACAAUUCACAUAGAUCCUUAAUACAUUCCAAACUCAUACGAAUAUUUUCUUUGAAAAAAUUUGGACCAUUGUUUUGGCAAUCCACUUCCCAGAAUUUCUUUGUUCUUUUCUGAAAAAAGAAAUGUUACUACUUUCAUCGUUGCUCAUGCUGGUAACUUUGGUCGUAUUUAUAUCUGGGAAUCUUGAACGCUCUUCUCUCCCGUCAUAUACUUCGUAAUGCGUGAUGGGAGUGUGUUUUAGCUUGACCGACCAUUCAUUCGCGUUAAGAUUGGGUACGUGGCCAAUAUUAUUGAUUACACUUGUUGUGGUACCCCCUAUAUACACAUUUGGAGAUAGUUCCGUUUUUUUCAGCAAUAUCUCUCCCAUACGGAAGUUAACCUUUGCCGGGACUAUUUUACCCGAUCUGACCGGUAUCGAAAUAGUGCCAGCUAUACAAAUUUGCUCACUAUCUUCUCCUAUAAUUAGGGGUAUUUGUGACUAUUCACCCCAUUUAUAAAGCUAACUUUUUUGUUUUUGGUGUCCAAAAUGGCCCUGUUCCACAAUCCGUCCCUUCCUAUUAGUUCUUCUGCGGGGAUAUCCGUUCCUUCCGGGACGACGUGCAUCAAAAAUUGUAAAUGAGGCAUAGCUUAUGCUCUAUUCUGACCUUGCCUGACCUUCGCAUAAGUCUUUCGACUCGUUCUAGCUUUUAAGCUUACCUUUAAAGCCCCUAGGACUCUUCCAUAUUAAACGAACACCACGGAAAAGAGCCAUAUAAUCAUAGUAUUGAUAAAUUUAACUAAUUUCCCAAUUAUGCGUUUCCUCUAGAUUGAUUGUGUAUUCCUUUCCAACUCCUCCUCUUCCUCAUGCUGUAAUAUGACCAAUUUCUCUUGAAACUAUACUUAUUUGUUUACUUUCUCUUUUUCUGGGUUUAUAAUGCAUUGUAUACUCGCACCUUGAGAAAUUAUUGUGAAAACCUUAUUGACCGUUGGUGAUACCCCUAACGGUCAAUACUCCACUACCCAUAUUAGAACCCCGAAACUGAGGUCUUGACGGUGGGUUUGCUGCGUUUCUAUGAUUAACAUAUUUCCCUCGGCGCUGGCUACUACCUGAUACCGGAUAUUCGCGGAAUCUUCUUUGAGAAAAUCUGAGCUGACAAUCUUUUCUCCCAAAACAUUGCUCGUCUUGUAGUUCCCUUUUACCCUACAGUAAGGAUUAUCCUCGUGACCGUUUAUUUUACACGUUUUACAGAAAAUAUUGCGCAACCUCUUAAAGCAGUUUUCCUCUCUGUGUCCUAAUUUAUCGCAGAAGUUACAAAUUAAUCUGCCUUGGUUGUUAGGCCUUCUAGCGGAACCUGAUGUUUCUCCCUUGGUACAUGCCGGUCCAACCUAAUGUUCAUAAGUGCCACAUUUGGUGUAAUAUGAAG